rnacentral:misc_RNA from 1 species
GAUGAAGAACGUAGCGAAAUGCGAUAAGUAGUGUGAAUUGCAGAAUUCAGUGAAUCAUCGAAUCUUUGAACGCACCUUGCGCCCUUUGGCUAUUCCAGAGGGCAUGCCUGUUUGAGUAUCAUGAACACCUCAACUCUCAUGGUUCUGCCAUGAUGAGCUUGGACUUUGGAGGUCUUGCUGGCCCCUGUGGUCAGCUCCUCUCAAAUGGAUCAGCUUGCCAGUGUUUGGUGGCAUCACAGGUGUGAUAACUAUCUACGCUUGUGGUUUUCCACCAGGUAACCUUCAGUGAUGGAGGUUCGCUGGAGCUCAUAAACGUCUCUCCUCAGCGAGGACAGCUUCUUGAACGUUUGAUCUCAAAUCAGGUAGGGCUACCCGCUGAACUUAAGCAUAUCAAUAAGCGGAGGA